rnacentral:rRNA from 1 species
UACGUAGGGGGCAAGCGUUAUCCGGAAUUAUUGGGCGUAAAGAGGGAGCAGGCGGCAGCAAAGGUCUGUGGUGAAAGACUGAAGCUUAACUUCAGUAAGCCAUAGAAACCGGGCAGCUAGAGUGCAGGAGAGGAUCGUGGAAUUCCAUGUGUAGCGGUGAAAUGCGUAGAUAUAUGGAAGAACACCAGUGGCGAAAGCGGCUCUCUGGUCUGUAACUGACGCUGAGGUUCGAAAGCGUGGGUAGCAAACAGG